AACGAACGCGGGCGGCAUGCCUAACACAUGCAAGUCGAACGAUCCCUUCGGGGAUAGUGGCGCACGGGUGCGUAACGCGUGGGAACCUGCCCUUAGGUUCGGAAUAACUCAGAGAAAUUUGAGCUAAUACCGGAUAAUGUCUUCGGACCAAAGAUUUAUCGCCUUUGGAUGGGCCCGCGUUGGAUUAGCUAGUUGGUGGGGUAAAGGCCUACCAAGGCGACGAUCCAUAGCUGGUCUGAGAGGAUGAUCAGCCACACUGGGACUGAGACACGGCCCAGACUCCUACGGGAGGCAGCAGUGGGGAAUAUUGGACAAUGGGCGAAAGCCUGAUCCAGCAAUGCCGCGUGAGUGAUGAAGGCCUUAGGGUUGUAAAGCUCUUUUACCCGGGAUGAUAAUGACAGUACCGGGAGAAUAAGCCCCGGCUAACUCCGUG
rnacentral:rRNA from 1 species